rnacentral:rRNA from 1 species
UACGGGGGGAGCAAACGUUGUUCGGAAUCAUUGGGCGUAAAGAGCUCGUAGGCGGUCUGUUGCGUCCGCUGUGAAAACUCGGGGGCUUAACCCCCGAGCCUGCAGUGGAUACGGGGCAGACUAGAGGUAGGGUAGGGGGAGAAUGGAAUUCCCGGUGUAGCGGUGAAAAUGCGCAGAUAUCGGGGAGGAACACCGGUGGCGA